AAUGAAUCCCUUGAUGACUUUGUUGAAGCUCACAAUACGUGCCUAAAUGAUCUCAUGUACUUCCCUACCCGCAAUGCUUAUGGUCUUGCAAGUGUUGCGGGGAGCAUGGAGAAGCUUGUAGCCCUGCAAAAUGAGGUGGAGCAUGUGAGAAAGAAGAUGGAAAGUGAUAAGAAAAAGGCAGAACAUCUUGAGGGAAAAUUGAAAACACUCACAAAAGGAUAUGAGGUAUGUUAUGGGAUACCCACAUUACGUUUCUUUGCUUAUAACUUAUUUUCCAUACAAUUGUUCAAUUUUUUCUUUCUUUGUUUUUUUUAAAGGAAACAAUAAUUAUCAUAAAAAGUUACAACUUUAAGGUAGAGAAUCCACCCAGCAUUUUAUCCAAUCCUAAAUUGCGAGCAACAACAGUAAACCCACACAACAAAUGCCCAGCUUAGUUCAAUAAUACACAUAACUUAACACUAAAUUUCAAUAUCUAGAGAACCCAAAAGUUAGAAAUCUUGAGCAAUCCAGAAAGACAGCUUAAGUUAGAAACUAGGAAGGACAAAAAAAAGGUGCAAUCUGGGGGCACCUGAAAAACCAUAGGAGAAAUAUGUUCAGAAUAAAACUACUGCAGGAAUUACCGCUAUACCAUUUGGAAUGGAAAUGAAAUUUUUCGAUUACUAAUUUUUGAAAAUUGCCAAUGAUGCACUAUUUUCAACAAAUUAUUGGCAGGAGAAAUAAAUAUUCAUAGUAUCUUUAAGAGGUAUAAGUAUAAAUUGAUAGUUACUGAUUUGAUCCAAAGUUAAAAUUUAUGCCCUCAAAUUCAAAACCUGAAAAUUCAAGAAUCCUUGCUUUAGUUUAACAAAAUGGGAUAGAAGAAUGUUUUUCUUGAUUGUUUUUCGCUGGAAUGUUGUUAUUUGAAUUUAGUUGUUAACUCUGUGGAGCAUAUGUGCAACCAUGGGGCAUAUUUUUUUUUCCUUUAAAAUAAACACAGGCAUGUUGUUUCAUGAAGUCUGUCUUUCAUUUCAUAUCUUUUUUCUAGAAAGCUCAAAUCUUUGUCCCUUAGAGGAGCUUAUUGCUUAUAGAAAGCUUGAAUCUCUUUCCCUUUUAAUCUCGUUCUUUCUCCCUCUCCUCUCUCAGUUAUCUACUCCUACUUGCCUUCUUUUCCUUUGCCUCCAUAAUUCCAAGUUCAUGUCAUUACUUGCGCAAUUUUUUGAGGAAGGUCAUUAUUAUUUUUUUGAUAACUAGUUCAUUUUCACUGUAAAGUAUCCUCUCCUAUCUAUUUGUCAUGUUUUGAUAAAGUUCUUAGAGAAGCAACUCAGAUCCUAUGUUCUUAUUGGAUGGAACUAAUGCAUGCAUGUUUAAGUUUUAUAGGCGGUUUUUGGUAUAACUUAAAUUUUGGUCAGAUUGAGCAUAUAAGCUCUCUAGGAACAUCUUUCUGAUAUUUUUGCUAAUUAUGAAAGAGUAUAAACUCUUAGAAUAACAUUUUUAGGAAGCUGAUAGGGUUAGUUUUUAUUUUAUAAGCUCUCUGAAAAAAAAAAAUUGAUAUUGACCUAGUAAAUAUCUAAAUUCUCUCCAAGUCAACAAUUCUAAAAUUUUCAAUCUCUAGUUUUAAAUAUUCAAGAACAGAAAAAUUUUCCAUUUUUAUCAUUUGAACAUAAGUAGCAGCUUGUAAGUUUUAUUUCUACGAAACAUAUAAAUAGUUGAAUACAGCUUAUCAACUCUUGUUAUCCAAACAAUGUAACAGCUUUUUCUUUUUAAUAGAAACUUCAACAGCUUUCAUGUUAACAACUUCUAAGCUUCUAUACCUUCACUUGAACCAAGCACUCUUAAGGAUUUGAGCUCCUGUAUUGACUUGGCAAUAUAGCAACAUAAAUUCAUCAUACAAUUUAACUAGAGUAACAGGUUAGGAAAUAGAAAAAAAGAAAUUAUAAUAUUAAAUACAAUCCAUUAUAGUUUUGUUUUUCCAACACAUGCAACUUGGAGUUUAAAUUUGAGUUCCUAAAAAGAAAGGAGUUUAAGCUUGAGUUUCCAUCUUGCACUUAUUAUGAAGGUAAUUAUUGUCAUUUUCAAAAUCUUUGUUUGACUUUUGGGGUGUGCUUUUUCUUUUUUUUUAAAAAAAAAUUCUUUCUUUACUCUUACUCCAGUUGGGGCAUGGAAUGAUAAAAUGCAUGGUUUGUGAUAAAACAAGAUCAGAUAUAGAAGUUUGCUUCUUUUAAUUUCUUUCUUGAUUCUUUGCUUUGUUCAUCCAUUGCUACUCUAAGAGUAAUUUAUUUACCUUAUGAUUUCAGCAACGCAGUUUCAAUCUUUGGAGCCAAGUGGAAUUGACCUUAAAGCAGAUUGACACUGCUGGAACAGAACUUGAGUGCUUCCAAGCUUUGCAAAAGCAAGAACAGAUAGCAGCAUCACACAGAGUAAAUAAUAUUUGGGAGGAAGUGCAGAAGCAAAAGGAGCUUGAGCAAACUUUACAACGGCGCUACGGAAAUCUAUUAGCUGAGCUGGAGAGGAUACAAAAGCUUGUGGUCGAGUAUAGAGCUGAAGCAAAAAAACAAGAAGAAAUUGCUGAGAAGAAUCAUGCUCUUCAGUUGUCUGAGGUGGCAACCGAGGAAUCCACUGAGAUCUCAGAGCCCUUACCAUCCUUGGAUACAUCUGCAAGCUCUGUGCCAGGUGACCCAUCUCACGAUGGCACUCCAGGUCAGAAAAUGGAUGUUGAUCAAGAGGAAGCGCACGCAGGAACAGCUGUAGAUGUAAGCAUAUCUACUGAUAUGCCU
rnacentral:lncRNA from 1 species